rnacentral:rRNA from 1 species
AAAUGCAAGGGGUUUCAGUAUCAUAGCGUAUAUUAAAGUUGUUGUGGUUAAAAAGCUCGUAGUUGAACCUUGGGCCUGGCUGGCCGGUCCGCCUCACCGCGUGCACUGGUCCGGCCGGGCCUUUCCCUCUGUGGAACCCCAUGCCCUUCACUGGGCGUGGCGGGGAAACAGGACUUUUACUUUGAAAAAAUUAGAGUGUUUAAAGCAGGC